UACGGGGGGGGCAAGCGUUGUUCGGAAUUACUGGGCGUAAAGGGCUCGUAGGCGGCCAACUAAGUCAGACGUGAAAUCCCUCGGCUCAACCGGGGAACUGCGUGUGAUACUGGCGGGCUUGAAUUCGGGAGAGGGAUGUGGAAUUCCAGGUGUAGCGGUGAAAUGCGUAGAUAUCUGGAGGAACAUCGGUGGCGAAGGCGGCAUCCUGGACCGGUAUUGACGCUGAGGCGCGAAAGCCAGGGGAGCAAACGGG
rnacentral:rRNA from 1 species